rnacentral:rRNA from 1 species
GACGAACGCUGGCGGCGUGCUUAACACAUGCAAGUCGAACGCUGAAGACCUGGCUUUUGUUGGGUUGGAUGAGUGGCGAACGGGUGAGUAACACGUGAGUAACCUGCCCUCUUCUUUGGGAUAACGCCCGGAAACGGGUGCUAAUACUGGAUAUUCACUGGCCUUCGCAUGGGGGUUGGUGGAAAGGUUUGUUCUGGUGGGGGAUGGGCUCGCGGCCUAUCAGCUUGUUGGUGGGGUGAUGGCCUACCAAGGCUUUGACGGGUAGCAGGCCUGAGAGGGUGACCGGUCACAUUGGGACUGAGAUACGGCCCAGACGCCUACGGGAGGCAGCAGUGGGGAAUAUAGCACAAUGGGCGAAAGCCUGAUGCAGCGACGCCGCGUGAGGGAUGGAGGCCUUCGGGUUGUAAACCUCUUGCGCUCAUGGUCAAGCCGCAACUGUGGGUUGUGGUGAGGGUAGUGGGUAAAGAAGCGCCGGCUAACUACGUG